rnacentral:rRNA from 1 species
AGUGAACGCUGGCGGUAGGCCUAACACAUGCAAGUCGAACGGCAGCACAGUAAGAGCUUGCUCUUACGGGUGGCGAGUGGCGGACGGGUGAGGAAUACAUCGGAAUCUACUUUUUCGUGGGGGAUAACGUAGGGAAACUUACGCUAAUACCGCAUACGACCUACGGGUGAAAGCAGGGGAUCUUCGGACCUUGCGCGAUUGAAUGAGCCGAUGUCGGAUUAGCUAGUGUGCGGGGUAAAGGCCCACCAAGGCGAAGAUCCGUAGCUGGUCUGAGAGGAUGAUCAGCCACACUGGAACUGAGACACGGUCCAGACUCCUACGGGAGGCAGCAGUGGGGAAUAUUGGACAAUGGGCGCAAGCCUGAUCCAGCCAUACCGCGUGGGUGAAGAAGGCCUUCGGGUUGUAAAGCCCUUUUGUUGGGAAAGAAAAGCAGCAGGUUAAUACCCCGCUGUUCUGACGGUACCCAAAGAAUAAGCGCCGGCUAACUUCGUG